CAGGCUUAACACAUGCAAGUCGAGGGGCAGCAUGGUCUUAGCUUGCUAAGGCCGAUGGCGACCGGCGCACGGGUGAGUAACACGUAUCCAACCUGCCGUCUACUCUUGGACAGCCUUCUGAAAGGAAGAUUAAUACAAGAUGGCAUCAUGAGUCCGCAUGUUCACAUGAUUAAAGGUAUUCCGGUAGACGAUGGGGAUGCGUUCCAUUAGAUAGUAGGCGGGGUAACGGCCCACCUAGUCUUCGAUGGAUAGGGGUUCUGAGAGGAAGGUCCCCCACAUUGGAACUGAGACACGGUCCAAACUCCUACGGGAGGCAGCAGUGAGGAAUAUUGGUCAAUGGGCGAGAGCCUGAACCAGCCAAGUAGCGUGAAGGAUGACUGCCCUAUGGGUUGUAAACUUCUUUUAUAAAGGAAUAAAGUCGGGUAUGGAUACCCGUUUGCAUGUACUUUAUGAAUAAGGAUCGGCUAACUCCGUGCCAGCAGCCGCGGUAAUACGGAGGAUCCGAGCGUUAUCCGGAUUUAUUGGGUUUAAAGGGAGCGUAGAUGGAUGUUUAAGUCAGUUGUGAAAGUUUGCGGCUCAACCGUAAAAUUGCAGUCGAUACUGGAUAUCUUGAGUGCAGUUGAGGCAGGCGGAAUUCGUGGUGUAGCGGUGAAAUGCUUAGAUAUCACGAAGAACUCCGAUUGCGAAGGCAGCCUGCUAAGCUGCAACUGACAUUGAGGCUCGAAAGUGUGGGUAUCAAACAGGAUUAGAUACCCUGGUAGUCCACACGGUAAACGAUGAAUACUCGCUGUUUGCGAUAUACUGCAAGCGGCCAAGCGAAAGCGUUAAGUAUUCCACCUGGGGAGUACGCCGGCAACGGUGAAACUCAAAGGAAUUGACGGGGGCCCGCACAAGCGGAGGAACAUGUGGUUUAAUUCGAUGAUACGCGAGGAACCUUACCCGGGCUUAAAUUGCAGAUGAAUUACGGUGAAAGCCGUAAGCCGCAAGGCAUCUGUGAAGGUGCUGCAUGGUUGUCGUCAGCUCGUGCCGUGAGGUGUCGGCUUAAGUGCCAUAACGAGCGCAACCCUUGUUGUCAGUUACUAACAGGUUCCGCUGAGGACUCUGACAAGACUGCCAUCGUAAGAUGUGAGGAAGGUGGGGAUGACGUCAAAUCAGCACGGCCCUUACGUCCGGGGCUACACACGUGUUACAAUGGGGGGUACAGAGGGCCGCUACCACGCGAGUGGAUGCCAAUCCCCAAAACCUCUCUCAGUUCGGACUGGAGUCUGCAACCCGACUCCACGAAGCUGGAUUCGCUAGUAAUCGCGCACCAGCCACGGCGCGGUGAAUACGUUCCCGGGCCUUGUACACACCGCCCGUCAAGCCAUGGGAGCCGGGGGUACCUGAAGUGCGUAACCGCGAGGAGCGCCCUAGGGUAAAACUGGUGACUGGGGCUAAGUC
rnacentral:rRNA from 1 species